rfam:Canis lupus familiaris chromosome 7, whole genome shotgun sequence.
GUGCCCAAUUUGGCAGCAUAUAUACGAAAAUUAGAACGAUACUGAGACCAUUAGCGUGGCCCCCGCACAAGGAUGACAUGCAAAUGUCAUGAAGCGUUCCCUACUUUG